CUACGUGCCAGCAGCCGCGGUAAUACGGAAGGUCCGGGCGUUAUCCGGAUUUAUUGGGUUUAAAGGGAGCGUAGGCUGGAGAUUAAGUGUGUUGUGAAAUGUAGACGCUCAACGUCUGACUUGCAGCGCAUACUGGUUUCCUUGAGUACGCACAACGUUGGCGGAAUUCGUCGUGUAGCGGUGAAAUGCUUAGAUAUGACGAAGAACUCCGAUUGCGAAGGCAGCUGACGGGAGCGCAACUGACGCUGAAGCUCGAAGGUGCGGGUAUCGAACAGGAUUAGAUACCCUGGUAGUCCGCACAGUAAACGAUGGAUGCCCGCUGUUGGUACUUGGUAUCAGCGGCUAAGCGAAAGCAUUAAGCAUCCCACCUGGGGAGUACGCCGGCAACGGUGAAACUCAAAGGAAUUGACGGGGGCCCGCACAAGCGGAGGAACAUGUGGUUUAAUUCGAUGAUACGCGAGGAACCUUACCCGGGCUUGAAUUGCAGAGGAAGUAUUUAGAGAUA
rnacentral:rRNA from 1 species